rnacentral:rRNA from 1 species
AUUGAACGCUGGCGGCAGGCCUAACACAUGCAAGUCGAGCGAGCGGCGGACGGGUGAGUAAUGUCUGGGAAACUGCCUGAUGGAGGGGGAUAACUACUGGAAACGGUAGCUAAUACCGCAUACCAUCAGAUGUGCCCAGAUGGGAUUAGCUAGUAGGUGGGGUAACGGCUCACCUAGGCGACGAUCCCUAGCUGGUCUGAGAGGUUGACCAGCCACACGGGAACUGAGACACGGGCCAUACUCCGACGUGGUGCAGCAGUGGUGAAUAUUGCACAAGGGGCGCAAGCCUAAUGCAGCCAUGCCGCGUGUGUGAAGAAGGCCUUCGGGUUGUAAAGCACUUUCAGCGGGGAGGCGUUACCCGCAGAAGAAGCACCGGCUAACUCCGGGCCAGCAGCCGCGGUAAUAC